rnacentral:lncRNA from 1 species
UAACAAUAUUUAGAAUUUUAUAAUUUAUUCAGUAUGAAAAUUUCUUGUAUAAGUAAAAGAUAGAAGUUUGAAUUUCAUGAUUUACAAGGACAACGUAUUUUAUCUACGGAAUAAUUUAUCUUAUUUUGAAAGAAAAAAAAAAUUAAAGACCGAAUAUAUGUUGUUCUGUUUAAGACAUUUGAUCAGACUGUUAAUUUUCAACCACAAUUAUAAAUUUUUAUACCGUUAAUUAUUAUAUAUAUUACUGAAAAACUUAUUUCGAUGU